GAUUAGGGAUCUGCUGCCCUUGGUCCUAAGUGCCACUAUCUGUGCUGAGUUUUUCAAAGGUCAGAGCAGAUUGAACCUUUGUGGUUCCAUUUUCCCUGAUUUUGAUUUUUCUUAUGGGGAACCUGUGUGGCUGCAUUCAAGGUGACUCGAAGAAGCCUUCCAAAAAGCGUGUGAAAAGGAAGCCCUACUCUACUACCAAGGUGACUUCAGGGAGCACAUUCAAUGGUACGUAUUCUGGAAUCACUCACUGGUUGUUAGAAAAGGAUUCUACAGGAAAUCUGGAGCUUAACUGCUGGCUUUUGUCUGGAGAGCCUCCAUGAUCCAAGACAUCUGAGAAUACAAGAAGAUAUGCUGUGCACACCAACCAGUGUAGGAGACCUCAUGGCUCCCGGGUAAAGAAGAAGAGGUACCCACAAGAAGAUGACUUCCAUCAUACAGUCUUCAGCAAUCUUGAAAGAUUGGACAAGCUUCAGCCCACUCUUGAAGCCUCUGAGGAGUCUCUAGUUCACAAGGACAGAGGAGAUGGAGAGAGGCCAGUCAACGUGAGGGUGGUGCAGGUGGCCCCUCUGAGGCAUGAAUCUAGUAAGUAUUCUGGAAUCACUUGCCAAGAAAACAAUCUGGAUGCCAAGAAAGGUGUGGCAUCCUUGCCUGGUUUCAAUGUGAAGAGCCACCCUGAUCCUGGGAUUGUGAUAGGAAUAAGUAUAGGGGAAGUGUUUUUUUAAAACCUGAAUUCCCCAGGGAAAAAUUAUGGCCAAAUUUUGAGGAAGCAGCUGUGCUCCCUUUUGGGUGGUGCUGAGUUGGGUGCUUGAGGAUUGGUGGUGUCUUGUGUGAGGCUGCAUCGUGUGGUGUGAAUGUGUGUGUUUCUGUACAGGUGAGGCUGUGUGUUUUCUCAGGAGAGAUUUCCCACUUAUACAACCCAAUCACCAGUGUCCACUUCUAACAAUAAAAUCCACCCCCGCUCUA